CAACUUUCAGCAACGGAUCUCUUGGCUCUCGCAUCGAUGAAGAACGCAGCGAAAUGCGAUAAGUAAUGUGAAUUGCAGAAUUCAGUGAAUCAUCGAAUCUUUGGACGCACCUUGCGCUCCUUGGUACUCCGAGGAGCAUGCCUGUUUGAGUGUCAUUA
rnacentral:rRNA from 1 species